rnacentral:sRNA from 1 species
AGGAAGGUGGCAAGAUGGUGUUGGAAAGCACUAUGGUGUGUGUGGACAACAGUGAGUAUAUGCGGAAUGGAGACUUCUUGCCCACCAGGCUGCAGGCCCAGCAGGAUGCUGUCAACAUAGUUUGUCAUUCAAAGACCCGCAGCAACCCUGAGAACAACGUGGGCCUUAUCACACUGGCUAAUGACUGUGAAGUGCUGACUACACUCACCCCAGACACUGGCCGUAUCCUGUCCAAGCUACAUACUGUCCAACCCAAGGGCAAGAUCACCUUCUGCACGGGCAUCCGCGUGGCCCAUCUGGCUCUGAAGCACCGACAAGGCAAGAAUCACAAGAUGCGCAUCAUUGCCUUUGUGGGAAGCCCAGUGGAGGACAAUGAGAAGGAUCUGGUGAAACUGGCUAAACGCCUCAAGAAGGAGAAAGUAAAUGUUGACAUUAUCAAUUUUGGGGAAGAGGAGGUGAACACAGAAAAGCUGACAGCCUUUGUAAACACGUUGAAUGGCAAAGAUGGAACCGGUUCUCAUCUGGUGACAGUGCCUCCUGGGCCCAGUUUGGCUGAUGCUCUCAUCAGUUCUCCGAUUUUGGCUGGUGAAGGUGGUGCCAUGCUGGGUCUUGGUGCCAGUGACUUUGAAUUUGGAGUAGAUCCCAGUGCUGAUCCUGAGCUGGCCUUGGCCCUUCGUGUAUCUAUGGAAGAGCAGCGGCAGCGGCAGGAGGAGGAGGCCCGGCGGGCAGCUGCAGCUUCUGCUGCUGAGGCCGGGAUUGCUACUACUGGGACUGAAGGUGAAAGAGGUGGAAUCCGAAGUCCUGGGACUGCGGGAUGCUAAACAUUGAAAGCUGGGUGUAGGCACUGCAGGGAGAGUGUGGAGGUCUGACAGGGUAGGAAUAUGUGGGAGGGCUGGGCUAGGAAUGGCCUUGGAGGCUGGCCUGUGUGGAUACGGCACCAAUUCUACCCUGCUCCUCUUUUCCUUUUCCCAGACUCAGACGAUGCCCUGCUGAAGAUGACCAUCAGCCAGCAAGAGUUUGGCCGCACUGGGCUUCCUGACCUAAGCAGUAUGACUGAGGAAGAGCAGAUUGCUUAUGCCAUGCAGAUGUCCCUGCAGGGAGCAGGUGAGCCAGAGCCUGGGUGAUGCCUAGGCAGAGGUUGGGGUGAGGAAGUGUAACUGAACAGACUGACCUCUCUUCCUCAGAGUUUGGCCAGGCGGAAUCAGCAGACAUUGAUGCCAGCUCAGCUAUGGACACAUCCGAGCCAGCCAAGGAGGAGGAUGAUUACGACGUGAUGCAGGACCCCGAGUUCCUUCAGAGUGUCCUAGAGAAC